GCACUGGUGGUUCAGUGGUAAAAUUCUCACCUUCCAUGUGGAAGACCCAGGUUCAAUUCCUGGCCAAUGAA
rnacentral:tRNA from 1 species